UACGGAGGGUGCGAGCGUUGUCCGGAAUCACUGGGCGUAAAGGGCGCGUAGGUGGCGCGGAAAGUCAACGGUGAAAGCUUGGGGCUCAACCCCGAGUCGGCCGUCGAUACUUCUGGGCUGGAGCACUGUAGAGGCAGGUGGAAUUCCGGGUGUAGCGGUGGAAUGCGUAGAGAUCCGGAGGAACACCAGCGGCGAAGGCGGCUUUCUGGUCCGAUACUGACGCUGAGGUGCGAAAGCGUGGGGAGCGAUCCGG
rnacentral:rRNA from 1 species